ACUUCAUAGAUCAUCUUGGCUUCCAUCUAAGAUUGAUCUAUAAAGAAAUUCAUCUCUAAAAACGAUUUUGUGUUGCUGCAAAUUUUCAUCGUAACCUGCUGAAAUUUCUCGACGAGAAUUCUACAAUCGCAACUUGCACCAAUUUCCUUGCUGUUAUACUGCUGAAAUUUUCUUGAUUAAAUUAGAUAUCCUUACUGUCAUAUAAAUUGUGAUUUUGCUAUCAAUUCCCUCCUCAAUUCUCUCACGUUUUUGGUGGAAAUUACGUCGAGAAACCGUUGUUUCUUCGACGACAAUUCUACUCUUACAAGACAGCACAUACUUGCUGCAACUUCGAUUAAUUUCUAUCAAACCUUUGCUACCAUCUACCACAGAUCCAAAACUUUUAUCUAUAGCCCUAAAACUCUACCAAACCACACCCUCAACCUGCACCCAAAAUAGCCACAAAACAAGCCUAAACCGUAGCCUACAUCCACCAAUCUACCAACCCUUUCGACCAUCACCUCUCUCAACCAAUACAUGCCUUUAACCCGACAACAAAAGAGAAAUCUUGAUAUCACAGAUUUGAC
rnacentral:lncRNA from 1 species